CUAACUCAAAUUUGUAUGCAGUUGGAACGUUUGCCUACGUUUGCCGCUAGGGGCGCUGUUCUAACUGCAUACAUGCGUUA
rnacentral:pre_miRNA from 1 species